AUUGAACGCUGGCGGCAUGCUUUACACAUGCAAGUCGAACGGUAACAGGCCUUCCGUGGCUGACGGGUGGUGAACGGGGGCGGAAUGCAUCGGAACGUACCCAGAGGCGGGGGAAAACGCAUCGAAAGCUGUGCUAAUACCUCAUGUGAUCUGAGGAUGAAAGCGGGGGAGCGAGCAGCAAUGAUUGGCCCCUCGCCUUUGGAGCGGCCGAUGUCGGAUUAGCUAGUUGGUGGGGUAAAGGCCUACCAAGGCAACGAUCCGUAGCUGAUCUGAGAGGACGACCGGCCACACUGGAACUGAGACACGGCCCAGACUCCUACGGGAGGCAGCAGUGGGGAAUUUUCGGCAAUGGGCGCAAGCCUGAUCCAGCAAUGCCGCGUGAGGGAUGAAGGCCUUCGGGUUGUAAACCGCUGUUGGCAGGAAAGAAAAGGUGUCCGCUAAUCCCGGCAGAUCAUGACGGUACCUGCAGAAAAAGCACCGGCUAACUACGUG
rnacentral:rRNA from 1 species